AAUCAACGCUGGCGGCGUGCCUCAGACAUGCAAGUCGAACGAUUAAAGCUCUCUUCGGAGAGUGUAUAGAGUGGCGCACGGGUGAGUAACACGUAAGUAAUCUACCUUUGAGUGGGGAAUAACAAUCGGAAACGAUUGCUAAUACCGCAUAAUGCAGCGGCAUCGCAAGAUGACAGUUGUUAAAGAUUUAUCGCUUGAAGAGGAGCUUGCGGCAGAUUAGCUAGUUGGUAAGGUAAUGGCUUACCAAGGCUACGAUCUGUAACCGGUCUAAGAGGACGGUCGGUCACACUGACACUGAAUAACGGGUCAGACUCCUACGGGAGGCAGCAGUCGGGAAUUUUGGGCAAUGGGCGAAAGCCUGACCCAGCAACGCCGCGUGAAGGAUGAAGUAUUUCGGUAUGUAAACUUCGAAAGAAUGGGAAGAAUAAAUGACGGUACCAUUUAUAAGGUCCGGCUAACUACGUGCCAGCCGCCGCCGUAAU
rnacentral:rRNA from 1 species